AGAGUUUGAUCCUGGCUCAGAUUGAACGCUGGCGGCAUGCCUUACACAUGCAAGUCGAACGGCAGCACGAGAGCUUGCUCUUGGUGGCGAGUGGCGAACGGGUGAGUAAUAUAUCGGAACGUACCCUAGAAUGGGGGAUAACGUAGCGAAAGUUACGCUAAUACCGCAUACGAUCUACGGAUGAAAGUGGGGGAUCGCAAGACCUCAUGCUCAUGGAGCGGCCGAUAUCUGAUUAGCUAGUUGGUGGGGUAAAAGCUCACCAAGGCGACGAUCAGUAGCUGGUCUGAGAGGACGACCAGCCACACUGGAACUGAGACACGGUCCAGACUCCUACGGGAGGCAGCAGUGGGGAAUUUUGGACAAUGGGCGCAAGCCUGAUCCAGCAAUGCCGCGUGAGUGAAGAAGGCCUUCGGGUUGUAAAGCUCUUUUGUCAGGGAAGAAACGGUGGACUCUAAUACAGAUCACUAAUGACGGUACCUGAAGAAUAACACCGGCUAACUACGUGCCAGCAGCCGCGGUAAUACGUAGGGUGCAAGCGUUAAUCGGAAUUACUGGGCGUAAAGCGUGCGCAGGCGGUUGUGCAAGACAGAUGUGAAAUCCCCGGGCUCAACCUGGGAAUUGCAUUUGUGACUGCACGGCUAGAGUGUGUCAGAGGGGGGUAGAAUUCCACGUGUAGCAGUGAAAUGCGUAGAGAUGUGGAGGAAUACCGAUGGCGAAGGCAGCCCCCUGGGAUAACACUGACGCUCAUGCACGAAAGCGUGGGGAGCAAACAGGAUUAGAUACCCUGGUAGUCCACGCCCUAAACGAUGUCUACUAGUUGUCGGGUCUUAAUUGACUUGGUAACGCAGCUAACGCGUGAAGUAGACCGCCUGGGGAGUACGGUCGCAAGAUUAAAACUCAAAGGAAUUGACGGGGACCCGCACAAGCGGUGGAUGAUGUGGAUUAAUUCGAUGCAACGCGAAAAACCUUACCUACCCUUGACAUGUCUGGAAUCCUUGAGAGAUCAGGGAGUGCUCGAAAGAGAAUCAGAACACAGGUGCUGCAUGGCUGUCGUCAGCUCGUGUCGUGAGAUGUUGGGUUAAGUCCCGCAACGAGCGCAACCCUUGUCAUUAGUUGCUACGAAAGGGCACUCUAAUGAGACUGCCGGUGACAGACCGGAGGAAGGUGGGGAUGACGUCAAGUCCUCAUGGCCCUUAUGGGUAGGGCUUCACACGUCAUACAAUGGUACAUACAGAGGGCCGCCAACCCGCGAGGGGGAGCUAAUCCCAGAAAGUGUAUCGUAGUCCGGAUUGUAGUCUGCAACUCGACUACAUGAAGUUGGAAUCGCUAGUAAUCGCGGAUCAGCAUGUCGCGGUGAAUACGUUCCCGGGUCUUGUACACACCGCCCGUCACACCAUGGGAGCGGGUUUCACCAGAAGUGGGUAGCCUAACCGCAAGGAGGGCGCUCACCACGGUGGGAUUCGUGACUGGGGUGAAGUCGGAACAAGGUA
rnacentral:rRNA from 1 species